UACCAGCUCUCCGAGUGGUGUGGAUGUUUAUUGGGCCUAAAGCAUCCGUAGCUGGCUAAGUUAGUCCCCUGUUAAAUCCAACGAAUUAAUCGUUGGAUCGCGGGGGAUACUGCUUGGCUAGGGGACGAGAGAGGCAGACGGUAUUUCCGGGGUAGGGGUGAAAUCCUAUAAUCCCGGGAAGACCACCAGUGGCGAAGGCUGUCUGCUAGAACGCGCCCGACGGUGAGGGAUGAAAGCUGGGGGAGCGAACCGGAUUAGAAACCCGAGUAGUCC
rnacentral:rRNA from 1 species